rnacentral:rRNA from 1 species
GGGAGGCAGCAGUGGGGAAUCUUAGACAAUGGGGGCAACCCUGAUCUAGCGAUGCCGCGUGUGUGAUGAAGGCCUUAGGGUCGUAAAGCACUUUCGCCUGUGAUGAUAAUGACAGUAGCAGGUAAAGAAACCCCGGCUAACUCCGUGCCAGCAGCCGCGGUAAUACGGAGGGGGUUAGCGUUGUUCGGAAUUACUGGGCGUAAAGCGCGCGUAGGCGGACUAUUAAGUGAGAGGUGAAAUCCCAUGGCUCAACCAUGGAACUGCCUUUCAUACUGGUAGUCUUGAGUUCGAGAGAGGUGAGUGGAAUUCCAAGUGUAGAGGUGAAAUUCGUAGAUAUUUGGAGGAACACCAGUGGCGAAGGCGGCUCACUGGCUCGAUACUGACGCUGAGGUGCGAAAGUGUGGGGAGCAAACAGGAUUAGAUACCCUGGUAGUCCACACCGUAAACGAUGAAUGCCAGUCGUCGGGUAGUAUACUAUUCGGUGACACACCUAACGGAUUAAGCAUUCCGCCUGGGGAGUAACGGUCGCAAGAUUAAAAACUCAAA